UACGUAGGGCGCAAGCGUUGUCCGGAAUUAUUGGGCGUAAAGCGCACGUAGGCGGCUUUGCAAGUCAGAGGUGAAAGCCCGGGGCUCAACCCCGGAAUUGCCUUUGAGACUGCAUCGCUAGAAUUGUGGAGAGGUAAGUGGAAUUCCGAGUGUAGAGGUGAAAUUCGUAGAUAUUCGGAAGAACACCAGUGGCGAAGGCGACUUACUGGACACAUAUUGACGCUGAGGUGCGAAAGCGUGGGGAGCAAACAGG
rnacentral:rRNA from 1 species